GAUGAACGCUGGCGGCGUGCCUAAUACAUGCAAGUCGAGCGAACAGAUGAGGAGCUUGCUCCUCUGACGUUAGCGGCGGACGGGUGAGUAACACGUGGAUAACCUACCUAUAAGACUGGGAUAACUUCGGGAAACCGGAGCUAAUACCGGAUAAUAUAUUGAACCGCAUGGUUCAAUAGUUAAAGACGGUUUUGCUGUCACUUAUAGAUGGUUCCGCGUCGCAUUAGCUAGUUGGUAAGGUAACGGCUUACCAAGGCAACGAUGCGUAGCCGACCUGAGAGGGUGAUCGGCCACACUGGAACUGAGACACGGUCCAGACUCCUACGGGAGGCAGCAGUAGGGAAUCUUCCGCAAUGGGCGAAAGCCUGACGGAGCAACGCCGCGUGAGUGAUGAAGGUCUUCGGAUCGUAAAACUCUGUUAUUAGGGAAGAACAAAUGUGUAAGUAACUAUGCACGUCUUGACGGUACCUAAUCAGAAAGCCACGGCUAACUACGUG
rnacentral:rRNA from 1 species